AGAGUUUGAUCCUGGCUCAGGAUGAACGCUAGCGACAGGCCUAACACAUGCAAGUCGAGGGGCAGCAUUUUUGAAGCUUGCUUCAAAAGAUGGCGACCGGCGCACGGGUGAGUAACGCGUAUGGAACCAACCCGCAACAGGGGGAUAACCCGGAGAAAUCCGGACUAAUACCGCAUGGUACUCUUUGCACAGAAGUGUGAAGAUUUAAAGAUGCGAAUCGGUUGCGGACGGUCAUGCGUUCCAUUAGCUAGUUGGCGGGGUAACGGCCCACCAAGGCGACGAUGGAUAGGGGUUCUGAGAGGAAGGUCCCCCACACUGGUACUGAGACACGGACCAGACUCCUACGGGAGGCAGCAGUGAGGAAUAUUGGUCAAUGGGCGAGAGCCUGAACCAGCCAAGUCGCGUGAGGGAAGACGGCCCUAUGGGUUGUAAACCUCUUUUAGAUGGGAGUAAAGUGUUCUACGCGUAGGAUAUUGCAAGUACCAUCAGAAUAAGCAUCGGCUAAUUCCGUGCCAGCAGCCGCGGUAAUACGGAAGAUGCGAGCGUUAUCCGGAUUUAUUGGGUUUAAAGGGUGCGUAGGCGGGUGAUUAAGUCAGCGGUGAAAUGCGUCAGCUUAACUGGCGAACUGCCAUUGAAACUGGUUACCUUGAGUGUAGCGGAAGUAUGCGGAAUGCGUGGUGUAGCGGUGAAAUGCAUAGAUAUCACGCAGAACUCCGAUUGCGAAGGCAGCAUACCAUACUAUAACUGACGCUGAAGCACGAAAGCGUGGGUAUCGAACAGGAUUAGAUACCCUGGUAGUCCACGCAGUAAACGAUGAAUACUCACCGUUUGCGAUAUAAUGUAAGCGGUAAAGCGAAAGCGUUAAGUAUUCCACCUGGGGAGUACGCCGGCAACGGUGAAACU
rnacentral:rRNA from 1 species